rnacentral:rRNA from 1 species
UAAUGGGUCAGCGACUUAUAUUCUGUAGCAAGGUUAACCGUAUAGGGGAGCCGAAGGGAAACCGAGUCUUAACUGGGCGUUAAGUUGCAGGGUAUAGACCCGAAACCCGGUGAUCUAGCCAUGGGCAGGUUGAAGGUUGGGUAACACUAACUGGAGGACCGAACCGACUAAUGUUGAAAAAUUAGCGGAUGACCUGUGGCUGGGGGUGAAAGGCCAAUCAAACCGGGAGAUAGCUGGUUCUCCCCGAAAGCUAUUUAGGUAGCGCCUCGUGAACUCAUCUUCGGGGGUAGAGCACUGUUUCGGCUAGGGGGCCAUCCCGGCUUACCAACCCGAUGCAAACUACGAAUACCGAAGAAUGUUAUCACGGGAGACACACGGCGGGUGCUAACGUCCGUCGUGAAGAGGGAAACAACCCAGACCGCCAGCUAAGGUCCCAAAGUCAUGGUUAAGUGGGAAACGAUGUGGGAAGGCACAGACAGCCAGGAUGUUGGCUUAGAAGCAGCCAUCAUUUAAAGAAAGCGUAAUAGCUCACUGGUCGAGUCGGCCUGCGCGGAAGAUGUAACGGGGCUAAACCAUGCAC